rfam:Salmo salar isolate Sally breed double haploid chromosome ssa03, whole genome shotgun sequence.
GGAACUGCAAUCUGUAAGUCGCUCUGGACAAGAGCGUCUGCUAAAUUACGUAAA